GUAGAAGAGAAUGAGUGUGUUGUAGAUUAUGCAUUGAAGAAGAGGAAUGUGAAACUUGUGCCCACUGGGUUGGAUUUUGGGAAGGAGGGAUUUACAAGGUAUAAGGAGCGUCGAUUCCAUCCUUCCUUGCGAUUGUCUCGACGGUUUUACCCACACACUCACAAUAUGGACGGUUUCUUCAUUGCAAAACUGCGCAAGUUCUCAAAUUCUCUCCCAUCAGCUCCAAAAGGUGAAGAAACAGAAUCUUCAGUUCCGGAUCAGCAGGAAGCCGGAGAUGCUGUAACCCAGAAGGGUAAAGAAAAACCACCAAAGAAACAGAAGACAGCGCUAAAAGAGAAAAAGAAAAAAUAAAGUGUUACCAAUGUCCUCAGUCUGUCAGCCCUUCCAGUACAACCUCUGUAAUUCUGCGUUCUCCAUAGUGAGGUGGGAUGCUCAGCUAAUACCUUUUUCCGGAACAGUCUUUGUGGCCCAUUAAACUGUACACGAGUUGCAAUACUCUGAAGCUGGAUAAUCUAGUUCCACUGAUGCUCUGUAGGGUUCCUCUGCAGCUGGAUAGUCUAGUUCCCACUGAUGCUCUGUAGGGUUCCUCUGAAGCUGGAUAAUCUAGUUCCACUGAUGCUCUUUUGGGUUCCUCUGCAGCUGGAUAGUCUAGUUCCCACUGAUGCUCUGUAGGGUUCCUCUGAAGCUGGAUAAUCUAGUUCCCACUGAUGCGCUGCAGGGUUCCUCUGCAGCUGGAUAGUCUAGUUCCCACUGAUGCUCUGUAGGGUUCCUUUGCAGCUGGAUAGUCUAGUUCCCACUGAUGCUCUGUAGGGUUCCUCUGAAGCUGGAUAAUCUAGUUCAACUGAUGCUCUGCAGGGUUCCUCUGAAGCUGGAUAAUCUAGUUCCCACUGAUGCCACUGAUGCUCUGCAGGGUUCCUCUGCAGCUGGAUGGUCUAGUUCCCACUGAUGCGCUGCAGGGUUCCUCUGCAGCUGGAUGGUCUAGUUCCCACUGAUGCUCUGUAGGGUUCCUCUGAAGCUGGAUAAUCUAGUUCCACUGAUGCUCUGCAGGGUUCCUCUGAAGCUGGAUAAUCUAGUUCCACUGAUGCUCUGUAGGGUUCUUCUGAAGCUGGAUAAUCUAGUUCCACUGAUGCUUUGUAGGGUUCCUCUGAAGCUGGAUAAUCUAGUUCCACUGAUGCUCUGCAGGGUUCCUCUGAAGCUGGAUAAUCUAGUUCCACUGAUGCUCUGUAGGGUUCCUCUGCAGUUGGAUGGUCUAGUUCCACUGAUGCUCUGCAGGGUUCCUCUGAAGCUGGAUAAUCUAGUUCCCACUGAUGCUCUGUAGGGUUCCUCUGCAGCUGGAUGGUCUAGUUCCACUGAUGCUCUGCAGGGUUCCUCUGAAGCUGGAUAAUCUAGUUCCCACUGAUGCUCUGCAGGGUUCCUCUGCAGCUGGAUAGUCUAGUUCCACUGAUGCUCUGCAGGGUUCCUCCGCAGCUGGAUGGUCUAGUUCCACUGAUGCUCUGCAGGGUUCCUCUGCAUCUGGAUGGUCUAGUUCCACUGAUGCUCUGCAGAGUUCUUCUGAAGCUGGAUUUUCUAGGCUGAUGCUCUGUAGGGUUCCUCUGCAGCUGGAUAGUGUAGUCCCAAUGAUGCUCUGCAGGGUUCCUCUGCAGCUGGAUGGUCUAGUCUGAUGCUCUGUAAGGUUCCUCUGCAGCUGGAGAGUCCAGUUCUACUAAUGCUCUGCUGCUAUGGUAGUGACAAUGGAAAACAGUUUCUUAAAUGACCUUUUAAUUUGAAUAAACCUUAAAAUGAAAA